UUAAAAAUUCAUAAUCAUUCCUGUAGCCAACGGCAGCAAAGCUAAUUAUUUACUGUCCCAACCAGCCUCAUCUCCUCCUGGGAGAAUCUGCUACUCAGCUGCCUGCACUGAUACGUCUGCAGGAGGUAGAUCGCUUGUAGCUGGAACCCAAGUGCGCACCAGGCAGCAUCACUGGUGGGGCUGUCAGAGGCUUUGAAGAAAAGUGCCGUGUUGAUUUGACUGUAAAUUCAGCUGUAUGCUCAGCUGUGGGAGAGAAGGGAGCUUCUUGCCUUGCUCUCCAGUAAAUACUUUGGUCCUGAGGCCAGCAGCGAUGGCUUAAGCCUUUUGCAUGAAAAGAAGGGGUGGUUCAAAGACUGGUGUGUUAGGAAAGAAGUGCUCAACUUUAUCAUCUUAAGAAACUAAAAGGAGCCCUGUUGCAUCAGAGCAAAGCCCUCUCUAGUCCAAUGCCCUGGUCCCUACUGUAGCCAGCAAGAUGCCUUUGAGAAGUUCAGAAGCUAAACGGGGCAUUGCAGCAGCUAGUACUCCUACUAUUUUUUAUUCUGGACAUAGCCUAUACCCAUUAUAAUAUUUCUGUUGAGAAUCAUAGUGCUAGAAGGGACCCCAGGGUCAUCUAGUGCAAUCACCUACCAAGCAGGAAUUAUAGCACUCUUGAAAGAUGACCAUUAAAUCACAGUUUAGUAAUCCUCAAUGAAGAUGAGUUCACCACCCUCUGAGACAGCUCCUAUCAUCAGGAUAAUGUGUAGGUUGAAUCUCCACUUUUUACAAUUUGAAUCCAUUGGUUUGUGUCAUGCACUGUAGAAUUAAUGCACUUUGACAUUGCUGUGGCUCAAUGCUAUAGAAUCCUGGAACUGGCAGUUUGUUGAGGCAUAAUAAUAGUAAUCAUCAUCAACAUCAUUAUCACAACGGCGGCAGCAGCAGCAACAACAACAACAACUAUUUAUAUUCUGCCCUAUCUCCCCAAGGGGACUCACGGCAAACAUUCAAUGCUGUUUGGACAGGACAGAACAGACAGAAAUGAGGCUGCAAGUGUAAAUAAGUGAACACUUAAGUUCCACCAUUCACUGCUAGAAUACCAUGAUGGGAGAAAAAAAUGGGAAAAGUACAUUUUUGUAAUGCAGUGUUCAGAAUCGUCUAGACACCAGAGCCCCCAAAGAUGGACUACACUCUGAAAUGCCUUGAGCCUGGAAUGAAAAGUUUCAUUUCUCAGCACCUUCAUUUUCUGCUGCUCAUGUGCGGAAGGGAUGUGCUCUGUUCUGCAGCAGAGAGAUGCCUGCUGGUUCUGUCUAAAAUGAUGAAAGCACAGAACAGUGAAGAGCAAACAAUAAAAAAAGUUCACAAGUGAUCAGUGAUGAUGAGAGGACUCCAACUGGGUUCUCUAGAGAGCGAUGAUAAAGAAUUAAAAUCUCAGAAUUUUUUAAAGCUAACAAAUGAAGCUUCUUUAUUCAACAUAAAAUGGGAUAAAAAGGGGUACUGUUAAAUAGAGCUAAUACUAAUCUUCAAGCAAUGGUCCUGCUGCUUCCAAUUCCAAGAGAGGAAGGAAAGUCAAGAUUUUUUAAAACCAGACAAAAUCCUUACUCCCAAAAUGAAAUAACAAGACCAAAGAGGGCAACUGUGGCCCUUUAGAUGUUUUGGGCUUACAAAUUCCUGCAAGAUUAACCAAUGGUGAAAUUGAACCAUUUUAAUGGGUUGCGGAUAGUGAGAUCUGGACCGCGGAUAGCAGAAACCCAAAGCGUGAGUACAGAGGUCCAUUAAGCGGGUUUUCAGUACCAGCAGUGGUCUGCCUGUGGAUCUGUGCCUGGAAAGAUCGAGAAGUUAUAAACCCAAUUUUCCCCAAUCAAAAGAUCUCACCCGUUGAAGAAGAAUGCCACCGAGGUAUUUCAUUUUGAUAUGGCUGGAAAAGAUGACCGUUUGUGGUAAGCCAUUAAAGGAAGCUGAGAUGCUUCUUACCUUCCUUUGGCAAUCUCCUCCAUUUCUUGGAAGAUGUCUGUGUGUGAUUUUUUAAAAAUGUGUGGAGGUCGGUGCAUGGCCGGUCAACACACAGUCUUCACAGAGUGAGGUCCCAACAGUGGUGUGAUUAACACAACGAGAGUGGCUUCUCAGUCUGUUGCAGCCUUCUUCCGCCUUCACAGCCAUUAUAACAUGUACCAUGUUAUUUUCCACCUGCUCUGCCGUUGAGGUCUUUGGGUCUUUGGAUUGUUCUUGGUCUGGAUCCUCCCCUGUGGCCACUCCUGGGAGUGCAUGACUCCAGUGGUUGUGCCCUCAAGUUCAUUGGAACACGCAAGCCCCCUCACCACGUCAAGGUGACAAUCCAUCAAGGGGGAUGCUUCUUACAGGCAAAACAUACAACUUCAUACAAAUAAAUCCUUUGUUUUUUUCCCACUCACAUCCCAGCUGGAGCUGGCUCCAUGCUGAUUGGUGGAGCCGGCCCUGACGUCACAGCCAUCUGGGAGGAUUCCCUUCAAGAGGCAGGAUUGUGGUGCCCGCUGGCCAAUUAUAGGGCAUUCCCCAUAAUUGCAGAUUUACACUCUCCAAUGGCUAACGGGGCAGGAUGACUGGCUGGAUAAAGGAAAUCAAAGUGUCUUGAGAGGAUUACCAUGUCUCAGCCUUGGAAUGAACAAAGGGAGCCAUUUGGGUUCCAUGGGUUUUACUGUGAAGAUAAUUUUGUCAUGAGUCCUCAGCAAAUGAGUCUAACACCCCUGGCACUAGUGUCCAUUGAAUAUCAAAUCAGAAAGACUGUUCCUGGGAAAGGGGAAAUGGCAUUGUGAAUGACCAGAGCAGGACCUCCUUGCAUACUGGAGGAGUGCUGGGUAAGGAGUGUUUUCUUUAUGUCCAGGUGACUGACUGCACAAAGGCUGGGUGACCCGGCUUAUGGAUCCUGUCGUUCUCUGCACAGUCAGGGUUAUGGGGAUCAAUAGAGAUGGAUUAAUCCCAGCAAUGAUGGGUGCUUGGAUCCGAUUGUUGUGGUGAUGGAGACUUCCAGGUCAAGGGGUGCAGAUGCCAAGACAUUGCUCUGUGACAUCAAAAUGCAUUGAAGCACCAAAAUGCAUAAGAACCACCUUCAUACCUGAAAGGAUCUGUUUCAUACUGAGAUUACACUACGUUGUCAAGUUAUGUUGAAGCAUACUGGGAUGUAGAGUUAUCGAAGAAUGUAACAAGCAGGCAAUUCAUUUAUAGUUUUUUGAGAUCUGCUGUCUAAAAUUUAUGAUGGAUAUUUUAUUGUUGAGGAGCUGAAUCAUAAGUAAGCAAAAUAAUGUAUCCAGUGCUAUACACUAAACUGACUUGAUACCUUUACUCUUCCACUGUUCUGUCUACAUGAGUACAGACUGAUUAUUCCUUAUUCAAAAUGCUAGGGACCAGAAGCAUUUUGGAUUUCAGAUUUUGGAACACCUAUACUUGCAUAUAUACACAUCAUGAGAUUGGAAUGGGACCCAUGUCUAAGCAUGAAAUUAAUUUAUGCUUCAUAUACAACUCACACAUAUAGCCUGAAGGUAAUUUUAUACAACCGUUUAAAUAAUUUUGCCUAUGAAACAAAGCUUGUGAACACAGCAAAGGUCUUACGAUCUCAGCCUCCCAUGUGGACACAUUCAGAUUGUGCAGUAUCUUGAAUUUCAGAAUUCUGGAUAAGGGAUGCUCAAUCUGUAUUAAGAUCUAUUUGGU